rnacentral:rRNA from 1 species
CCUACGGGUGGCAGCAGUGGGGAAUAUUGCACAAUGGGGGAAACCCUGAUCCAGCGAGGCCGCGUGGGUGAAGAGGUAAUUCGUUAGGUAAAGCUCUUUCAGCAGGGAAGAAAAUGACGUUACCUGAGUAAGAGGCCCCGGCUAACGACGUGCCAGAAGCCGCGGUAAUACGUAGGGGGCAGGCGUUAUCCGGAUUUACUGGGUGUAAGGGGGGCGUAGACGGUGCGCCAAGUCUGGAGUGAAAUGCCGCGGCUUAACUGCGGAACUGCUUUGGAAACUGGCGAACUAGAGUGCGGGAGGGGUAAGCGGAAUUCCUAGUGUAGCGGUGAAAUGCGUAGAUAUUAGGAGGAACACCGGUGGCGAAGGCGGCUUACUGGACCGUAACUGACGUUGAGGCUCGAAAGCGUGGGGAGCAAACAGGAUUAGAUACCCUAGUAGUC